rnacentral:lncRNA from 1 species
UGUUAGACAACUUUCAGUGAGACUCUUGAACCGAGACAUUUUGGACAAAUGAAGGACAAGUGCUGAAGAGUGGGAAUGGUGCUAGAUUGGGGAAUAAAGACAAAGGUGGUAAAUUAUUUGCAGUUUAUUCAGCAUUAUUUGCUUUCGACCAGCGCCUGAUUCACAAGUCUACAUAAUUUGGCUUUUGACCAGUUGUUAAUAAAUUUUUAAUUCCAUUGGUGCUAAAUGUACACGUGAAGCAGGCAGAGCAGGACUGUGGAAAUGAGAAGCUUUUUAGGGAAAGCUUAAACUCAGGUAAUUCUAAAAAUUAAUUCUGAUUGUUCCGAUUUAUCUAAAUCAGGAAAUUUUAUUUCCAUCUGUUACAAUAAAACAGAAACAGAACACAGAGAAAAAUAUUCUACUUCUUGUGGCAAUCUUGCCUUCAUUCAGACUAUGAAACCAUUUCCUUUCACCAAUUUCUUCCGAAAGUUUGAACACGUUUCAUGGUUGGACAUAGUUAGCUUCUUUUUCUUUUGGUGCAUUUAGGUGCUAUCAAGUGACAACCAUAAGUAUGAUUGCAUUAUUGGGAAAUUUUAGGUUUUGAUGGCUCCCCAUGUUAUUGCCAAGAAAUUUUAAGUCCUCAUGUCAGAAGCUGCGUUUCUUUUCAUCAGACUGAACCCGAACCUGUCACUAUGGAUAACUGAGGUUUUUGUCAUCAACUCUAUCAUGUUUUUCACUGUUUUGAAACUCUUAAGAUUAAACUUCAGUAAAGUUGUUUCAGUUACCCAUGUAAUCAGGCUAAGGAUAUUUAGCAGCUUAUUUAGGCAACUGCCAGAAUUCAGUUUGUUCGCUCGAAACUUGUAUGGUGACAAGGAUACUGGCAAGGAUAGUGAGAUAGUUUUUUGUGUGAGUGAAAUUUGAAAGCUUGGGUGUUCUGGGAUUUGCAAUUGCAAUCAUCCUCUGCUUUAGGUGAUUUCUUCUCCUGUUCUGUCUUUAUUUUCUCUCUAAUUGAAAGCAUAAAGUAUUUCAAUCAAAUUCUGUACCAGGAAUACGAAAAAUUUACUAAUAUUUUAUUUCCAUCUGUUUGCAUUGAUAACUUGGCCGCAUAUGUACUAGUUAAAGAACAAACAGAAGCAGAGUUCAGGAAAAAGUUUCUUCGGCCACCAUAUUUGAAAAUGAAACCAUUUCCAGGAAGCAGUUGGCAGCAAAUUCAUACAAAGUAUAGACAAUGAUGAGCAAAAAGGUGAUUUGCAAUUUCAUUUUUUUAAAAUGAAAUUAUUUGUUAAGUUGGAGCUGAUAUUGUUAGAAGGCCACUGAGCUAACCUAUGACACUGCUUGCCUAGAUUGCAGGAGGUCAAGACUCAAAAGAUGCACUGAAUUUUAAAAGGCAUGCAAUAAUUCUUAUGGCCAUUUGUCAAUGGUGGAAGGCUUUUAGCUUCUUUUCCUUUCGUGCAUUUUGGGGUUCUAUCAAGCGACAGCCGUAUGUAUGGAUGGAUAUAGCUGAAGGACAACAUUUGUCCAUGAGGUUCCUAAAAUCGCAACUUUUGUGCAGUAAAAUUAAAACGGACGGCGGAAGCUCUAGAAACCUCGGAUCGGCUUCAUUCAAAAACUAAAAUCAAGAGGAAAGAUUGAAGUUUAAUUACCUCACUUGCAGUUUCGAAAAAGACUUCUUGAG